GUGGGGAAUAUUGGGCAAUGGGGGAAACCCUGACCCAGCAACGCCGCGUGAGGGAAGAAGGCUUUCGGGUUGUAAACCUCUGUCGCAGGGGACGAAACAAAUGACGGUACCCUGUGAGGAAGCCCCGGCUAACUACGUGCCAGCAGCCGCGGUAAUACGUAGGGGGCGAGCGUUGUCCGGAAUUACUGGGCGUAAAGGGUGCGUAGGUGGCUAUUUAAGUUGGAUGUGAAAUACCCGGGCUUAACCUGGGGGGUGCAUUCAAAACUGGAUGGCUAGAGUGCAGGAGAGGGAAGCGGAAUUCCUAGUGUAGCGGUGAAAUGCGUAGAUAUUAGGAGGAACACCAGUGGCGAAGGCGGCUUUCUGGACUGUAACUGACACUGAGGCACGAAAGCGUGGGGAGCAAACAGG
rnacentral:rRNA from 1 species